AGCUUUUCGAAUCCGUGCUGAGAUUUCGUCAGACACCAACCCAUUAGGGCUGGUCAACCUUCCUAGAUAAGUGAAGUU
rnacentral:pre_miRNA from 1 species